rnacentral:rRNA from 1 species
GAAACCGGGAAGAGCUCAAAUUUGAAAUCUGGCGUCCUCAUGGGCGUCCGAGUUGUAAUCUAUAGAGGCGUUUUCCGUGCCGGACCGUGUCCAAGUUCCUUGGAACAGGAUAUCAAAGAGGGUGACAAUCCCGUACUUGACACGACGACCGGUGCUCUGUGAUACGUCUUCUACGAGUCGAGUUGUUUGGGAAUGCAGCUCAAAAUGGGUGGUGAGUUCCAUCUAAAGCUAAAUAUUGGCGAGAGACCGAUAGCGAACAAGUACCGUGAGGGAAAGAUGAAAAGCACUUUGGAAAGAGAGUUAAACAGUACGUGAAAUUGUUGAAAGGGAAACGAUUGAAGUCAGUCGUGACCGAGAGGCUCAGCCGGUUCUGCCGGUGUAUUCCCCUCGGUCGGGUCAACAUCAGUUUUGUCCGGUGGAUAAGGGCGGUAGGAAGGUGGCACCCUCGGGUGUGUUAUAGCCUGCCGUCGCAUACAUCGGGUGAGACUGAGGAACGCAGCUCGCCUUUAUGGCCGGGGUUCGCCCACGUCCGAGCUUAGGAUGUUGACAUAAUGGCUUUAAACGACCCGUCUUGAAACACGGACC